ACAAGGGCGAAAGGUGGAUGCCUAGGCUCUCGGAGGCGAAGAAGGACGUGAUAAGCUGCGAAAAGCUGCGGUAAGGAGCAAAUAUCCUGUGACCCGCAGAUUUCCGAAUGGGGCAACCCAUCAACGCAAGUUGAUAUACCGCCAAGCGGUAAGCAAACGCGGGGAACUGAAACAUCUCAUUACCCGUAGGAAGAGAAAAUAAGAAUGAUUCCGCAAGUAGUGGCGAGCGAACGCGGAAGAGCCCAAACCGGUUCCGUUUCGGCGGGGCCGGGGUAGAAGGACCGACAGAAGGACAAAGGAAGCAUAGCCGAACAGUAUUGGAAAAUACGAUCAGAGACGGUGAUAAUCCGGUAGGCGAAAUGCGGAGCUUGACAGUCGGUAUCCUGAGUAGUGCAGGACACGAGAAAUCCGGUACGAAUCAGCGGGGACCAUCCCGUAAGGCUAAAUACUCCCGAGAGACCGAUAGCGCACCAGUACUGUGAAGGAAAGGUGAAAAGAACCUCGAACAGAGGAGUGAAAAAGACCCUGAAACCAUUCGCCUACAAGCGGUCGGAGCCACUACGUGUGGUGACGGCGUGCCUUUUGCAUAAUGAACCUACGAGUUACCCAUACCGGCCAGAUUAAGCGAUUCAGUCGCGGAGUCGAAGCGAAAGCGAGUCCUAACAAGGCGGAUAGUCGGUAUGAGUAGACGCGAAACCAAGUGAUCUACCCAUGAGCAGGUUGAAGGUUAGGUAACACUAACUGGAGGACCGCACCGGUAAACGUUGAAAAGUUUUCGGAUGACUUGUGGGUAGGAGUGAAAGGCCAAUCAAACUUGGAGAUAGCUCGUACUCCCCGAAAUGCAUUUAGGUGCAGCCUCGGGCCAGUAUGUAAUAGAGGUAGAGCCACUGAUAAGUCGCGAGGGUUUCAACGCCUAUCAAGACUUGACAAACUCCGAAUACUAUUACAGGUACCCCGGGAGUGAGGGCAUGGGUGCUAAGGUCCAUGUCCGAGAGGGAAAGAACCCAGACCAUCAGCUAAGGUCCCGAAAUAUAUGCUAAGUUGAAGAUAAAACGAAGUAGAGACCCUGAGACAGCUAGGAUGUUGGCUUGGAAGCAGCCAUUCAUUUAAAGAGUGCGUAACAGCUCACUAGUCGAGGGACUCCGCAUGGAUAAUAAUCGGGCAUAAGCAUAUUACCGAAGCUAUGGAAUAGAACUAUUGGUAGGGGAGCAUUCCAGUCGCCGUCGAAGAUAUACCUUGAGGUAUGUUGGAGGCCCUGGAAAAGCAAAUGUAGGUAUAAGUAACGAUAAAGGGGGCGAGAAACCCCCUCGCCGUAAGACCAAGGAUUCCUGAUCAACGCUAAUCGGAUCAGGGUAAGUCGGGCCCUAAGGAUCAUCCGAAAGGAGAAGCCGAUGGAAGAAACGGUUAAUAUUCCGUUACUACGAUAAAGAGUGACGGGGAGACGGAGAAGUGACACAUCCGCCUGCUGACGGAAUAGCAGGUUAAAGAGUGUAGAUAAUGGCUGGAUAGGCAAAUCCGUUCGGCCAGUCGAACUUGACAGUACCGAGCGUCCUCGGACAAUCGGAUAGCGAUGGUAAACAGGCUUCCAAGAAAAUCCUCUAAACAUAUUUUUAUCGUACCCGUACCGCAAACGGACACACGUGGUCGAGUAGAACAUACUAAGGCGCUCGAGAGAUUCACGGUUAAGGAACUAGGCAAAUUGACCCUGUAACUUCGGGAAAAAGGGUCCCCGCUGCAAGGCGGGGCGCAGAGAAUAGGUCCAGGCAACUGUUUAACAAAAACACAGGGCUGUGCAAAAUUUCAAGAUGACGUAUACAGCCUGACACCUGCCCGGUGCUGGAAGGUUAAGAGGAGAAGUCAUUCGCAAGAAGAAGCUUUGAAUUGAAGCCCCAGUAAACGGCGGCCGUAACUAUAACGGUCCUAAGGUAGCGAAAUUCCUUGUCGGGUAAGUUCCGACCUGCACGAAUGGUGUAAUGAUCCGGACACUGUCUCAACCGUGAGCUCGGUGAAAUUGUAGUAUCGGUGAAGAUGCCGAUUACCCGCAACGGGACGAAAAGACCCCGUGAACCUUUACUGCAACUUAACAUUGUAAUUGGGUAUCCGAUGUGUAGGAUAGUCCGGAGGCAAAGAAGCAGGUACGCCAGUAUUUGUGGAGCCGACCUUGAAAUACGGACCUUUGGCUAUUUGAUUACUAACCCGCGCUAGUGGGGACAUUGUUUGGUGGGUAGUUUGACUGGGGUGGUCGCCUCCAAAAGCGUAACGGAGGCUUCUAAAGGUGCCCUCAGGCCGAUUGGUAACCGGUCGCAGAGUGUAAUGGCAUAAGGGCGCUUGACUGAGAGACCUACAAGUCGAUCAGGUAGGAAACUAGAGCAUAGUGAUCCGGUGGUUUCGCAUGGAAGAGCCAUCGCUCAAAGGAUAAAAGGUACUCCGGGGAUAACAGGCUGAUCGCUCCCAAGAGCUCAAAUCGACGGAGCGGUUUGGCACCUCGAUGUCGGCUCGUCACAUCCUGGGGCUGGAGAAGGUCCCAAGGGUUGGGCUGUUCGCCCAUUAAAGUGGCACGCGAGCUGGGUUCAGAACGUCGUGAGACAGUUCGGUCUCUAUCUGUUGUGGGCGCAGGAAAUUUGAGAGGAUCUGACACUAGUACGAGAGGACCGUGUUGGACUGACCGCUGGUCAAUCUGUUGUUUCGCCAGGAGCAUGGCAGAGUAGCUAAGUCGGGAACGGAUAAGCGCUGAAAGCAUCUAAGCGCGAAGCCAGCCUCGAGAUAAGAUUUCCACAUGAGGGACGUCGAAGACGACGACGUAGAUAGGUUGCAGAUGUAAAGCCAGCAAUGACAAAGUCGAGCAAUACUAAUUACCCCAACACUUCCCA
rnacentral:rRNA from 1 species